ACUCAAAUGAAUUGACGGGGACUUGCACAAGCAGAGGAUCAUGUGGUUUAAUUCGAUGGUAAACGAAGAACCUUACCAGGGUUGGAAAUCUAGUUGAAGGCUAGCAGAAACGUUAGCCGCCGCAAGGCAAUUAGACAGGUGCUGCAUGGUCGUCGUCAGUUCGUGGUUUGAAUUGUUCCCUUCAGUGGGGUAACGAACGCAACCCUCGUUGGCUGUUACAAGUGUCAGCCGAGACUGCCCAGCUCUUUGGGCAUAAUCACAGAUAUGGAUCUGAGAUUGUGAGUAAAGAGCUGGGAGGAAGGUGAGGAUGACGCCAGAUCAGCAUGGCCCUUUGAUACCCUGGGCUACACACGUGAUACAAUGUUACAUACAACGCGAUGCGACGGGGAGACCCUGAGCCAAUCGUUUAAAGUGUAACCUAGUUCGGAUAGGAGUCUGCAACUCGACUCCUUGAAGCUGGAUUUGCUAGUAAUCUCGGGUCAGCUAUACCGAGGUGAAUACGUUCUCAAGUCUUGUACACACCGCCCGU
rnacentral:rRNA from 1 species